AUACGUAGGGGGCGAGCGUUGUCCGGAAUGACUGGGCGUAAAGGGCGUGUAGGCGGCUGGAUAAGUCUGGAGUGAAAGUCCUGCAUUCAAUGUGGGAAUUGCUUUGGAGACUGUCUGGCUUGAGUGCGGAAGAGGUAAGUGGAAUUCCCAGUGUAGCGGUGAAAUGCGUAGAGAUUGGGAGGAACACCAGUGGCGAAGGCGACUUACUGGGCCGUAACUGACGCUGAGGCGCGAAAGCGUGGGGAGCGAACAGGAUUAGAUACCCUGGUAGUCCACGCGGUAAACGAUGAAUGCUAGGUGUAGGGGGUAUCGACCCCUCCUGUGCCGGAGUUAACACAAUAAGUAUUCCGCCUGGGGAGUACGGCCGCAAGGUUGAAACUCAAAUGAAUUGACGGGG
rnacentral:rRNA from 1 species